AAGCGCUCAUGACCAGACUUGGGCCCGGUGAAUCAUCCAGCGUUCUCGCUGGUGCACUUUGCCGGGCUCAGGCCAGCAUCAGUUUGCCCCGGGGGAUAAAGGCUCUGGGAAUGUGGCUCCCUAGGGAGUGUUAUAGCCCACUGCACAAUACCCUGGGGCAGACUGAGGUUCGCGCGUCUGCAAGGAUGCUGGCGUAAUGGUCAUCAGCGA
rnacentral:rRNA from 1 species